rnacentral:lncRNA from 1 species
GUUUUGUUAAUCGUGCGGUAAAUAUGAUGGUUAAUCAGCCGUUUAAUUUUAUAAUGUAUUUUAAUUAGGUAUAAAUUUUCCACGAAAUUAGUUUAAUCAUCUUUCGCUGUACAAUUAAAAUAUAAUAACUUCCUGCCUUUCUUGUGGCAGACGUCAGAAAUAAAUGACACUGAAAGACCAUUGACAAGUAAAAUCCGUUAAAAUUUGAAAUAUUUGUUUGGCGAUAAUAUCUGACGAUACACAGCUUCUGUUUAUUAAUUCGACAAGGAUGUUUUUCCGCUAUGUUUUAAGAUCUUUUGUGGUAUAACCAAUAAUGUGGUUUACUACUUUGUUAUUAAAGUAUUACAUAAGUUCAUUCAUUAAUUGCGUGAGGUAAACUUAUAGCACGUAAGACCAAUUAACUGCUUGAUGCCCAAUAGACUGUGAGAAAAUGUUAAUCAUAGGAUCGGUUACAGAGAGUAAUCAUAAGUAUAACUAAUUGAACCUUAUAGAUACAAGGAUUAACUGAUAAUUUCUAGCUUAGUGUCAUGACCAAGAUGUAAAUACUUGGUUGUGAUUCUCUAUGUAUGCUAUAGACUUCCUACAAAACAUCUUAGGAUAUAUAAAAAAAGAAGAUGUGGUAUGAUUGCCAAUGAGACAACUAUCCACAAAAGACCAAAUAUUGCACAGACAUUAACAACACUAGGUCACCGUACAGCCUUCAACAAUGAGCAAAGCCCAUACCGCAUAGUCAGCUAUUAAAGGUCCCGAUAAGACAAUGUAAAACAAUUCAAACGAGAAAACUAACGGCCUUAUUUAUGUAAUAAAAAAAAAAAAAAAAAAAAAAAUGAACGAAAAACAAAUAUUAAACACAUAAACAAACGACAACCACUGAAUUACAGGCUCCUGACUUGGAACAGGCACAUACAUAAAUAAUGUGGCGGGGUUAAACAUGUUAGCGGGAUCCCAACCCUCCCUCUAACCUGGGACAGUGGUAUAACAGUACAACAUAAGAACGAACUAUAAAAAUCAGUUGAAAAAGGCUUAACUCAUCAGAUGGACAAAAAUACAAGUGGACGUGGCCCGGUUCUUAUACAUCCCGACACAAAAAGACAUAAUGAACAGAUCUGAGAAAAAUCAUGCAACUAAGACUAAACUAUCAAUCCGUACACAUCCAACAUCCAAUGGAUUUAGUGUAAAGACGUCAUAAAUAGCAAGAGAAAAACAUGACCUUGUGCAAUGCCAAGUUACAGGUAUCGACAGAUUGUAGAUCCAUGAAUAUGUAUAUGCAUAUAACAUACUAGUAAUAUUUAGUUAGCUUUUAAUUUACUGAUAACAAAAUCAAUAUUUAUACAAAAAAAAAAAAAACAAUAUUCAAUGAUCUUAAUACAGUGUUGAAUAGGUAACCUUUUAGAAUAAGUUUAUUUAAAGGAGCGACAAGUUUACAUGGAUCAUUUCUAAAUUUCCGGGCACGGUUAACAACAUUUCCGUAAAAUUGAGGAUGUGCUAUCCCGUUUGAAAUAAGUUUUCUACAGGUACAACCAAACUUCUAAACCAAAUCUUUAUAUCUAUGGAAAAAAUUCGUAAAGGUUUUAAGUAAUUUAUGGUAACGAUAUUCCUGGUUUUAUAAUUUACCAGUAAUACAUAGGUUGCGUUCGUUAAAAUCAAAAACGUCACAACACACACGGGCAUAGCGAACAAGUUGUGGAAUAUAAACACCGUAAGAUGGUGCCAAAGGAACACCACCAUCUAAAAAUGGAAAAUUAACAAUAGGGAAUGAAAAAUCGUCUCUUUUUUUUUUGUAAAUUUUAGUGUCGAGUUUCCCGUUUAAAACCGAAAUAUCUAAAUCCAGGAAAGGACAGUUAUUAGGAAUCCAUAUAGGUGACAAGCUACAGACAAUUUCAAAACACUUUAACAUUAUACCUUCUUUUCUUAUGACAGUCAUUGCCUCAAUGUUCUCGUGCUGGCGUGUUCGCCUCGAGUGAAAGAGGUCGUGGAUUCGAACGCAGUGCGUCUAAUCAAAGACUUUAAAAUUUGUAUUUGCUGCUUUUUCGUUAAGAACGCGGUAUAUAAAAGUAGUAAUUGCAAAAAAUUUGCGACUCAGCAAGGUUGAUAUGCAUUUUACAUUAACAUGUUCUCGUCCUGAAUAUGCCUAUUAAUUUGCCACUGGACGUUGCCACAGCGAUCCAUCAUCAUC